rnacentral:sRNA from 1 species
AAAACAGGUGGGAAAAUUGGGCCAAAUUAUUUACAAUGAAAAAAAUAUAUGAGUCACUUGUCCUGCUCUUUGA